rnacentral:rRNA from 1 species
GAUGAACGCUAGCUACAGGCUUAACACAUGCAAGUCGAGGGGAAACGAUAGAGAAAGCUUGCUUUUUCUAGGCGUCGACCGGCGCACGGGUGAGUAACGCGUAUCCAACCUGCCCAUCACUUGGGGAUAACCUUGCGAAAGUAAGACUAAUACCCAAUGACGUCCAUAGAAGACAUCUGAAAGGGAUUAAAGAUUUAUCGGUGAUGGAUGGGGAUGCGGCUGAUUAGCUUGUUGGCGGGGUAACGGCCCACCAAGGCGACGAUCAGUAGGGGUUAUGAGAGGAAGGGCCCCCACAUUGGAACUGAGACACGGUCCAAACUCCUACGGGAGGCAGCAGUGAGGAAUAUUGGUCAAUGGGCGAGAGCCUGAACCAGCCAAGUAGCGUGCAGGAUGACGGCCCUAUGGGUUGUAAACUGCUUUUAUAAGGGAAUAAAGUGAGCCUCGUGAGGCUUUUUGCAUGUACCUUAUGAAUAAGGACCGGCUAAUUCCGUGCCAGCCGCCGCCGUAA